CAAGGAAUUUUCCACAAUGGGCGCAAGCCUGAUGGAGCAACGCCGCGUGGGGGAAGACGCUUUUCGGAGUGUAAACCCCUUUUCGGAAGGACGAAUACAAUGACGGUACUUCCGGAAUAAGGACCGGCUAACUACGUGCCAGCAGCCGCGGUAAGACGUAGGGUCCGAGCGUUGUCCGGAGUUACUGGGCGUAAAGCGCGCGCAGGCGGUUUGGUACGUCGGGUGUGAAAGCCCCCCGCUCAACGGGGGAGGGUCAUUCGAAACGGCUGAACUGGAGGCAGGGAGAGGUCGGUGGAAUUCCCGGUGUAGUGGUGAAAUGCGUAGAUAUCGGGAGGAACACCAGUGGCGAAGGCGGCCGGCUGGACCUGUACUGACGCUGAGGCGCGAAGGCGUGGGGAGCGAACGG
rnacentral:rRNA from 1 species